UGUAAUUGCAUUCAUUUGGCCUCUGGUAACGGUCACGCAUUGUUUGACAAGAACUUCAUAUGUGUGCGUGUCGGGUGCUUGACGCUAAUAUCUAAAAUUUUUGAUUUUUACCGACAACAAGUAUGUGUGACACGACGCCACCCGACUGCACUAACACAUACAAAGCUCAGCCAAGCAUGCUGUAUCGUCACCAGAGGCCAAUUGGGCGUUUUCCAAAACGACAGUUGCUUUGUGUUCGAACGAAGUAUCAUAUUCCUAAUCGCAGCUUUGAAAUCGUUGGCGUUGUAUCGUGUUCCUAAAAGUAUCGUUGAUGUUCUUGAUACGCAACAAAAAGCAACCAAAGUAUCACUAAGCUGAUGCAAUAUGUGGACAUGUACAAAGGAAAAAAUCCCGGAAAACGAAGAGAGCAAAUAAAAUGUUACAAAACGUCAACAGGGUCGCAAGGCAUAGCUUUACAAAGUAUCAAUAUUUUACUGUAUUUAUAUAGUAUUGAUGCGAUACUGUUACAUUGAAUACAUACAUAUGUUUUGGAAAACUCUCAUUCAAUCGAUUUGUCAGGUACAAUUUCAUCGGAAAUUCAUCAAGAUGUUUCGGGUUUUGGCAAAGACGUUAUUUUCGAAAUUAUUUAAACUGGCGCAAAUGUUUUUGGCUGUUCCAGCUACGUCCGUGCAAAGCGAGCGAGUUUUAAAGCCUGGGACAACAAUCAAUCUCGAAGAAAACUGCCUAAAUUGUUACUCCUAAUUUUUUUACAAAAUAUUGUAAUAGACAAUAAAGAGAAAUAAAAUUU